ACACUGCAGGUGGCUGAGGGAACAGGAUCUCUAAUGUGGAAAUAAUAGAAACUGACACGUAUGCAUGCAGAGUUCUGACGGCUCAUACACCAAGGUGUGCUGUUGGGCCACUUUCUGUAGGCCAAAACAAGAUGAGUGACAAGCCACGCCUCUCUCUACCACCACUCCAGCUACAACCCCCCUCCCCAACUUCUCCUUGAAUAUUGAGAGCAGCGAGGAAAUUUGCAAGAGACUUGCCAACCUCGGCAGACCUUGCCUCAAGACACAAAGACAACAACAGCGUCACCUCACCUCUAAAGCUUCGACUCUCCAGAACCCCCUUUUCAUGUCAAUCCCCACCUGGGUGCCAUUGGGGUUAACAUCUGGAUCAGAGGGAGACAAUCAUGGAGAGACUCCUCUUGUGACCUGGGUGUACUUAUCCCUCCCCACGCCUGUCGACCCUGAGAGGAAGUGAUUCGCCGGCCGAGUGACCUCCCCUGGUGGCCCUUCCUGUCCCCAUGUUGCCUCGUAGGAAGGAAGGAUGCGGUCUGUUGUCCUCAGGCGGCGCUCAAUCACUCUCCCCUCCUCGGCCUGACGGGAAAAACCAGAUUAUUGAUUCCAGGCUCGUCUCUGCUCAUGCUCGCUUAUUUUUGUCUCUUCCAUUUUUCAUCCGCUUUCUUGUCUCAGCAUCAGCUUGGUCCCACUUUCAUCCCCUUUCUUCGUCUGCCAUUUUUAAUGUGUCCCUUUGAAAAGAUAGAACACUGUAAACAUUAACAAAGCGCAACAAUUCCCACCCAAUUAAACUCAAGAGACUGACAAGUGAUUUACUGGCCUGUGCUUUGACUUUUCUGCCUCACAUAUGUUUAAUUGUCUUGUUGUUGUUUUAUUGGCCAUACAUUAACAUUAAAUAUGACAUGUAUUUCAUGUGGUGGAAAAGUC